GUCUACGGCCGCGCCACCCUGAACACGAUCAAUCCCGUUUGAUCUCGGAAGCUAAGCAGGGUCAGACGUGGUUAAUACUUGGAUGGGAGACCGCCUAGGAAGAUCAGGUGCUGUAGGCG
rnacentral:rRNA from 1 species